UACACCCACACGGGUUCGUGUCAUUAAUAAUUUCGACGUGUUCAGUUUGAAUACCAAAGCAUUUUUAAGGUUCCCGUAAUGUUUUACCGCGACAAAGGAAGGCGUGGUGUAGAAAUGUCAAAGGCCGAUAUGUCAGGACUGUAGGGUCUCCGUCAGUUAGGGGUUUAUUGAAAGUUCUGUUUGAAUUCUUUCCUCUAUGUAAAAAUGAAAUCACCGACAGUUAUAUACUGAGUUCCAAAUCAAAAGUAUCUGAAGAUGUAAAUUUUGAUAUAUCCAGAAAAGAAGAAGGAGAACUUCCAAGAAAGCUAUUUUAUAUACAGUUUCGUUUUGAGUUAACUUACGUACGUUUUAUUACAGUUUUUAC